CCACCUGUCGUUAAACACCAAUUUCGUAUGCGGCUUUCAAGAACCAAGUGCGCGCUCUCGGAGGAUCUUUGCGAUAAAUUCAAAAUUUUUCAUUUUCUUUUACAUAGACCGAUAUGGGCCACGUUUCGCGCCACGAAAACGAGUAGGGAUAAAUCGUUUGACUUCCUAACAACCUUCCUUUUUCGGCUGCGGUCCUCGACGAGUACAGAAGCUCCCGUAUUAGUUCACGUGGAAAAUUUACACUAUCGUUUCUUUUACCUUUCCGGAUCUCGGACCUACCGUUUCGUAAAUUACCACAUAGUGACUUAUUUAGAAAUACCGCAUCUUUCUUUUUCGUCGUCCCUCACAGAGGGACCCUGGCUGAGGCAGAAAUAGUCCAUUGCGCAACCUGUACCCAUCGGGAUAUCUAGAAUUUAACCCUGUUCUACAAGUGGCUGAUUCGACACCAGCCUACCAAAGUUCCUACAAGAGGAACGCCUGGACCAAUUGACCUCGCCUAUCGAACGAUAAGUAUCCCUUAUCUCAUAAUUCGUAUACCGCUUCGAUUUUGGCAUUACACCCGUCGGGAUUUAUUGUACAAAUUUAUUUCCCUAUU